GGUUCGAUCAUGGCUCAGAUUGAACGCUGGCGGGAUGCUUACAUGCAAGUCGAACGGCAGCACGGACUUCGGUCUGGUGGCGAGUGGCGAACGGGUGAUGUAUGUAUCGGAACGUGCUAGUAGCGGGGGAUAACUACGCGAAAGCGCUAGCUAAUACCGCACGCCCUUCAGGAAAGCAGAGGACGGGCCUCGCACUAUUAGAGCGGCCGAUAUCGGAUUGGCUAGUUGGUGGGGUAACGGCUCACCAAGGCGACGAUCCGUAGCUGGUUUUGAGAGGACGACUGGCAACCACACUGGGACUGGAACUGCGGCCCAGACUCCUACAGGAGGCAGCAGUGAAAUUUGGACAAUGAAACCUGAUCCAGCCAUCCCGCGUGUGCGAUGGAAACCUUCGGGUUGUAAAGCACUUUUGUGGCAGGAAAGAAACGGCACGGGAUAAUACCGUACCAGCGUGACUGUUACCUACUAGAAUAAAGAAAGCACCGGCUAACUACGUGCCAGCAGCGGUAAUACGUAAGUGCAAGCGUUAAUCGGAAUUACUGGGCGUAAAGCGUGCGCAGGCGGUUCCGGAAAGAAGAUGUGAAAUCCCAGAGCUUAACUUUGGAACUGCAUUUUUUAACUACCGAGCUAGAGGAGUGUGUCAGAGGGAGGGCAGAAUUCACCGAUAUUAGCAGUGAAAUGCAUGUAGAUAUGCGAACACCGAUGGCGAAGGCAGCCUCCUGGGAUAACACUGACGCUCAUACACACGAAAGCGGCAGGAGUAAACCUGGAUUAGAUACCUGGUAUGAUCUCCGCUUCUAAACGAUGUCAACAACAUAUUUGGGGCCUUCGGGCCUUGGUAGCGCAGCUAACACGUGGGAGAGAUUGACCGCCUGGGAAGUACGGUCGCAAGAUUCUGAAACUCAAAGGAAUUGACGGGGACCCGCACAAGCGGUGGAUGAUGUGGAUUAAUUCGAUGCAACGCGAAAAACCUUACCUACCCUUGACGCUGUCUGUAGUCCCACGAAGAGAUUUAGGAGUGCUCGCAAGAGAACCGGAACACAGGUGCUGCAUGGCUGUCGUCAGCUCGUGUCGUGAGAUGUUCAGGUUAAGUCCCGCAACGAGCGCAACCCUUGUCAUUAGUUGCUACGAAAGGGCACUCUAAUGAGACUGCCGGUGACAAACCGGAGGAAGGUGGGAUGACGUCAAGUCCUCGCGGCCCUUAUGGGUAGGGCUUCACGUCAUACAAUGGUCGGGACAGAGGUCGCCAACCCGCGAGGAGCCAAUCCCAGAAACCCGAUCGUAGUCCGGAUCGCAGUCUGCAACUCGACUGCGUGAAGUCGGAAUCGCUAGUAAUCGCGGAUCAGCAUGUCGCGGUGAAUACGUUCCACGGUCUUCUUACACCUACCCGUCACACCUAAGCAGGGUGGGUUUUACCAGAAGUAGUUAAUACUAACCGUAAGGAGAGAGAAUUUGGUGUACAGUAGGAUUCAUGACUGGGGUGAAGUCGUAACAAAGGUAG
rnacentral:rRNA from 1 species